rnacentral:rRNA from 1 species
AACGAACGCUGGCGGCGCGUCUUAACCAUGCAAGUCGAGCGGCAGGCAGCAAUGCCGAGAGCGGCGGACUGGUGAGUAACACGUGGAUAACGUACCCCGAUGUCCGGGACAGCCUGUAGAAAUAGAGGGUAAUACCGGAUAGAUCACUGUUUACGUGAGGUAGACAGCGGGAAAGGAGCUUCGGCUCCGCGACGGGAUCGGUCUGCGGCCCAUCAGCUGGACGGCGGGGUAAAGGCCCGCCGUGGCGAGGACGGGUAUCCGGCCUGAGAGGGCGGACGGACACAUUGGGACUGAGAUACGGCCCAGACUCCUACGGGAGGCAGCAGGUAAGAAUAUUCCGCAAUGGGGGGAGCCCUGACGGAGCGACGCCGCGUGAACGAAGAAGGCCGGAAGGUUGUAAAGUUCUUUUCUGGCCGAGGAAUAAGUUUCGGAGGAAAUGCCGGGACGGUGACGGUAGGGCAGGAAUAAGCACCGGCUAAUUACGUG